CUCCGCCACGACGCCCCCACCGGGGGAGUCGGGAGCACCCAAAUCCCCCCCCUCGCGCGCGCAAUGCGUCCACCCUGUCCUUUGAGCACCUUUUUCUUCCCCCCGACGGGGCGACUCGUCGGGUGGGACACCCAUCGAACCCUUUUGCAUCAGCAGUGUAUCGUCAGUAACAAACAAAAUAAAUCAAAACUUUCAACAAUGGAUCUCUUGGCUCUGGCAUCGAUGAAGAACGCAGCGAAAUGCGAUAAGUAGUGUGAAUUGCAGAAUUCAGCGAAUCAUCGAAUCUUUGAACGCACAUUGCGCCCUUCGAUUAUUCCUUAGGGCAUGCCUGUUCGAGCGUCAUUUCAACCUUCAAGCUCAGCUUGGUGUUGGGUGCUGUCCCCGCCGCUUCGGCGCGUGGACUCGCCUUAAAUUGAUUGGCAGCCGCAACCUCCGCCGCGAGCGCAGCACAGUCGCGCUAACGACGGGUCGGGUUGGGGGCUCUCCAGAAGCUUAUAUCAACGUCUUGACCUCGGAUCAGGUAGGGAUACCCGCUGAACUUAAGCAUAUC
rnacentral:rRNA from 1 species